AUGCACGGCCUCGGCUAUAACCCCUUCAUGUUGCUCCUUGAUCUUAACCAAGCCCAUGAUGCUGGUCUGAGGCUCCUUGACCUUAACGACUUGGCUCUCCAAGCAACAAAAUCAGUUCAGCAUCGCUCUUGGAUCCUCUUUCUUGCUUAUUGGUCAGAUUCUGAAUCUAGAUUCUGCUAUUUUGGUUCAUAUUCCAUUGAUUUGGUGUGCUACAUCUACAUUGAUGCAUCAACUCUGCCCCAUAAUAUGGAUACAUGUUUGCAGGCAGUUUUCUUCGAUAGUUUUGUUUUGCCAUUGCUACCAGUCAUCAGAUUUUGGUAA
rnacentral:rRNA from 1 species